GUAAUUAAGGCGAUGCGCCCACGGAGACCCAUGAGGGUAUUUAUAUAUAUGGGCCGACACCAAGGGGGAGGGAAAUGGAAGGAUCGAGGAAAAGUGAAAGCGUGAGGUUAAAGGACGGCAAACAGCAGGCAUGAAGUUGUGAUCUGGCCACCUGGAAAGUGGAGACCCCACGAAGGAGCGUUAAGCGGAUGCGCUUUGGGGGUUAGUUCGCCCCUCUUAAUGUUCGGCUGCUGCUUCUCCUGGGUCACAUUUCAUGGGACUACUGAUGGCCUUCUGAUCAAGAGGAAAGUUGCAAGCAUCGAAUUUCUUUCUGUUCUGAGCACACCUGAAUCCUGGUAAUUGACCACUGCACAUUUGUGAAGGCAGCAGAGAAGAGCCUUGGACUUUCUCUACACAAGGACACUCUUCAGGACCCUGGCUAACUGGAUCAGCAUCCAACCCCUGCAAAAAUCAAUGCUGAGAUGAGUUACAUCUUUAAAAAUCACGGCCCCCUCAAAACUACACCCACCAGCUCACCGUGACCAGCCACCCUGCUAUGUUCAGUGAGAAAAUAUUUCCUCAUCCAUUAAUUUAUCAAGUCUACUUAUUAUCACACACGUGCGAUUAGGAGGCGGUCAAAGAGCCUAAAGAAAGCCAGAAGGAAUUUAAAUUACCUCCACUUCCGGGUAUACAAAAUGGCUGAUGCAACAUCACUUCCGUCCAUCACCAAUGACAUCACUUCUGGCUCAUCCUAAUGACCUUGGUUCCGGUUCCUGUCUGACGUCACUUCAUGCCAACCAUUUCCUAUUUCCCAUAAUCCUUACUGUAUAA